rnacentral:rRNA from 1 species
AUUGAACGCUGGCGGCAGGCCUAACACAUGCAAGUCGAACGAGUGGCGGACGGGUGAGAAAUGUCUGGGAAACUGCCUGUUGGAGGGGGAUAACUACUGGAAACGGUAGCUAAUACCGCAUAGCUUCGGUUGUGCCCAGAUGGGAUUAGCUAUUAGGUGGUGUAAAGGCUCACCUGGGCGACGAUCCCUAGCGGGUCGGAGAGGAUGACCAGCCACCCUGGAACUGAGACAGGGUCCAGACUCCUACGGGAGCAAGCAGUGGGGAAUAUUGGACAAUGGGCGCAAGCCUGAUGCAGCCAUGCGGCGUGUAUGAAGAAGUCCUUCGGGUUGUAAAGUACUUUCAGCGGGGAGGCGUUACCCACAGAAGAAGCACCGGCUAACUACGUGCCAGCAGCCGCGGUAAUAC